CACUUCACUGCUAGUUUGAACAAUGUGUCGUGAUUCACUAGGAGACUUCAUAGGUGGAGUCAUGUCAUCACUCGUAGGUACUUCUUUCUUCCGUCUCUUUGAGUUGCGACCACCAUUAUUAUCACCCUCAUCUCCUGGUUUAAGUGGCUUCAGGACUGUAUCUUGUGAACUACCACCAGCUGAUACAACAGCCGCUGAACUCAGGCUCUCCGAUGGUACGAUAGAUUGACAUGCUUCACCAAGCGCAGUAGAUUUCUCACCUUCAUGUGGUGUUCCCGUUGACAUGUCUGGUCGUCUCGUUUCAGAAGGCACUACAAGCUCAGGGGAGAUUUGGGGACUAUUUAGAGGUUUUGGAUGUUCAUGCGUUGCUAUAUAGUGAAUAUUGG
rnacentral:misc_RNA from 1 species